rnacentral:rRNA from 1 species
AGUGAGCGGGAUGAGCUCAAAUUUAAAAUCUGGCUGGUUUACUAGUCCGAAUUGUAGUUUAUAGAAGCGUUUUCGGUGGCAGCCUGGGUAUAAAUCCUUUGGAAUAGGGUAUCAUAGAGGGUGAGAAUCCCGUCUUUGACUCAGUGCAUGCUACUAUGUGAUACGUUUUCAAAGAGUCGAGUUGUUUGGGAAUGCAGCUCAAAAUGGGUGGUAAAUUUCAUCUAAAGCUAAAUAUUGGCGAGAGACCGAUAGCGAACAAGUACCGUGAGGGAAAGAUGAAAAGAACUUUGAAAAGAGAGUUAAACAGUGCGUGAAAUUGUUGAAAGGGAAACGUUUGACACCAGUUAUGCGGGUGGAAAAUCAGUCUUUUGCAAUGGGGAGUUGUGGGCGUUCAGACCGCAAGGCUGGCGUUUGCUUCAUCUUUGUUGUAAGUGAUGCACUUUUUCAUUUGCAGGUCAACAUCAGUUUGCUUUGCUGGACAAAACCCCAAGGGAAGGUGGCAGCUUAGGCUGUGUUAUAGCCCUGGGGCGAUACAGUGGAGUGGACUGAGGUUUCGCAGUGUGUGCUCUCGGGCAAGGCUGACUGGGUGCUAUGGGAUCGUUCGGCGUACAAUGCAUGCAUUUUGCGUCGUGUCUUUUUCAUACUCGCUCAACUCGGCUCUCCACA